UUUACCCCAUAUAGCAACCCCAAGAAGCAAAACAGUGGAUGCCUGAAGCAUAAAGGACAAUGAUGAGCCUUGCUGAAUGCUUUCCCCUCAGAAACAGCCACAGCCACAGACAGGGAUCAAUGAAGCUUGAGAUGAGAAGGUGACUGCAAUGAAAGAGAAUGGUCUGAAGAUUCCUGCGAGCCCCUGACCCGUCCUGGAUCCCUGCUUGCACGCCUGUUCCUGACUUCACCUGACUCCCUGCCCUGCACCCAGCUUCAGCUACUACGGACUGCCUCCAUGUUGCACCUUUGACCACGGACCGGACUUGGACCUCACCUCUCGGGUAACCCAUGGGACCAGCACAUCUCUCUUCCUUUCUCCUCAAAAUACACACUGUUUUGUUCAGCUUUCUCACUAAAGUGUUAUCAAGACUUUUCUCUUUUCACUCAAAUCUGCAUUGACAUCAAGGCCUUGGAAAGGACCCAGCUAAAGAAACCAUGACAGAAUCUCUAAGACUAGAUCCCACAGCAACUAAUCUCACCUUUACACUCUACUCUGUGCUGUUCAACCCAUGCAUUGCUGCUGUUGUAGGGACUGGAUGAUAGAAGGGGAAGGAUCUCUUGCCAGCCCUUGGCUAGGGUCCUACAAGUCUUAGUAUGCACCAGCCAUUUCUUACAGUAAGAAGAGGCAUAGGUAUCUCCUGGGAAUGGUCAAUCCUGACUGGAGCACAGAUGUUAUCAGGUCUGUCGACCAGUCUGGAAAUUCCUUCCUGUUCUUCAGAAUUUAAGGAUGAAACGUGAUCUGACAUUAAUUGGAUGUGUGCAAUUAAUGUGCACACUUUUUGUUAUGUAAACAACAGCUGAGGCGAAUCCUUAGCAUCCUCCAGACCAGUGGAAAAGAAGGGAAGCAUUACUCUUUUGUAUUUUUUGGGUAAAGAGCAAGAAAAGGAAUACUGUACCCAAAAAAGCUGAGUCCAAAGAUCGUGUCUUCAGCAGGCUGAGGCUAGCAGUCUUUCUAAUCUCAACUAUUAGUGACUUCCCAUGGUAUUAAAAUUCAAGGAGGGUAACCAUUAAAAUAAAGAUGUUUUCUUGCCAGCACUAUAUAGAUGUUUGGAAAAGAAGGAAUGCCUAUUUAAUUACUCAACAAAUGAUGUUCUUUUGGUUACUCAGCAUAAGGAACGGCUGGACGUAAUAGACUUUGGGCUUUAAUGGUGUUUAAAAUUGCUUUUCCAAAUCACCUUAUAAAGUAUAGGUUCAUU